rnacentral:tRNA from 1 species
GCUGUGAAGUAGCGGAACUGGCAUACACGCACGUUUGAGAGGCGUGUCCUUAAUCGGAUGCGGGUUCAAAUCCCGCCCUCAGCA